GCGCGAAAACUUUACAAUGCUGGCAACAGCGAUAAGGGAACCUCGAGUGCCAGGUUACAAAUCUGGCUGUCGAGAUGCCUAAAAAGCAUUUCAUAGCAAGGGCCGGGCAAGACCGGUGCCAGCCGCCGCGGUAACACCGGCGGCUCGAGUGGUAACCGUUAUUAUUGGGUCUAAAGGGUCUGUAGCCGGCCGGAUAAGUCUCUUGAGAAAUCUGGCAGCUUAACGGUCAGGCUUUCAGGAGAUACUGUCUGGCUCGAGGCCGGGAGAGGUGAGAGGUACUUCAUGGGUAGGGGUGAAAUCUUGUAAUCCUUGAAGGACCACCAGUGGCGAAGGCGUCUCACCAGAACGGACCUGACGGCAAGGGACGAAAGCUAGGGGUACGAACC
rnacentral:rRNA from 1 species